ACAAGGAAAAGAUAGAAGGAGAAUAUGAGGGGAGUUCUUUUUGAAGAAGAAGAAGAGACCAAGGUCAUUUUCUGAGGUAAGAAAUUUGCACCAUUGGUUGCAGGUCGGUGUUUCUGAGGUAUGCAGUGGACACAGUUUCAGUGUCAUUGUUUGCAUCUGUGAAGAAACGGAAGUGCGACAAAUCGAAUUCAUUUUCGGACAAUAAUUCUAAAUUGCUCAUGCUAUGUUAAGAAUGAAUACCGGACUAACGGGAUAGAAGUUUAUCUCAAAUUUUCAUCCACUAUGUCUGUUCCAUUUUUUUGGUGUUGUAUGUCUGGUUAUGUAUUAAGGAUUUAGAUGUACUAUUCUUAAAAGGUUAGGUCUCCGUUUCAGUUUUCUAUUUAGAUUUAGAUAUUCUAUUAUGUGAAUGUUUUUCUAGGUGCUCAACUACUCAUCUUAACAACCAUACUAUGAUCUCUUCUCCCUGACUCUGCGGCAAUGAGUGAAGGAGAGACGGUGCAGGGUCACGUAAAGCAGCACUGGUGACUGAAAAACGCUGAGCUCUGAGAUAAUAUUUGUUAUCUUAUUAUUGCAGUUAAAGCUAUUAUUGCGGUUCACUGUGUGUUCUAGCAAUCUAGCUAGAUUUCACUGUUAAAGCUAUUACUGCUUUUAACUUCUGUUCGAGUUAUGCUUGCACUGAUUUCUCCCGGUUUGAGUUCUACAGGGCACGACAAAUCAGGUUGGCCCUACACACAUUGACACCAUUCUCCCCGUUCACCUGGCUUGAGUUCUACAAGGCAUGGAAAACCAGGUUGGCCAUGUACUCAUUAGCACCAUUCUCCCCGAGGGCCUUGCCCAAGCCAAGAAAUGGAAUUUUUCGUGUGUCCAGUGUUCAGACCAUGAGGUUGUUCGAAGGCUGAUCAGCAAGGCUUCAGUACCUACGUGUACUCACUCCAGAUCAUAUGAAGCGACAUCUUUUCGAUAUAUUCUAAUUACUAUUACUACACAGGGCAUGGCAUUAGUGUGUAUAGUCAAUACAAGUUAAUUUUAUGAAGCUUUUGGCAUCAGAAACUUUUUUAACCCGGCUACAUGUUAAGAAAGCUUCUAAUGGCUAUGCUAUACUCUAAUUUGUAAAAAAGCUGUCCAUUUUUCAGUUCCCAUCUUGCUUAGUUGAGAUUCAUUAUCCAGUGAUGCAUACCUCUGUUUCCGCUACAUUGGUACAAUAGUUUGGUAUGAUGACUGUAUGAACUGUAUGAGAUUGAAAUUCUAAGUCGGAAGGGUCACCGACAUAUUUAUAACAUGCUAUGUUUUGUGCAAU